GAUCCUGGCUCAGGACGAACGCUGGCGGCGCGCCUAACACAUGCAAGUCGAACGAGCGAGAGGGAGCUUGCUUUUUCGAGCGAGUGGCGAACGGGUGAGUAACGCGUGAGGAACCUGCCUCAAAGAGGGGGACAACAGUUGGAAACGACUGCUAAUACCGCAUAAGCCCACGGGUCGGCAUCGACCAGAGGGAAAAGGAGCAAUCCGCUUUGAGAUGGCCUCGCGUCCGAUUAGCUAGUUGGUGAGG
rnacentral:rRNA from 1 species